UCUUUUAAUUGGAGGCUCGUAUGAAUGGUUGGACAAAAAGCAAACUGUCUCAAUUAUAUUUAUUGAAUUUAACUUUUAAGUGAAAAGGCUUAAAUAAAUUAAGGGGACGAUAAGACCCUAUAAAGCUUUACAAUAAGUUACCUAUAUUAUAAAUUGUUAGUAUAACUUGAGUUUAGGUAACGUUUGUUGCGUUGGGGCGACGAGAAUAUAA
rnacentral:rRNA from 1 species